CCUACGGGAGACAGCAGUGGGGAAUAUUGCACAAUGGGGGAAACCCUGAUGCAGCAACGCCGCGUGGGUGAAGGAGCGUUUCGGCGCUUAAAGCCCUGUCAGCGGGGAAGAAGAAAGACGGUACCCGACCAAGAAGCCCCGGCUAACUACGUGCCAGCAGCCGCGGUAAUACGGAGGGGGCGAGCGUGAUCCGGAAUUAAUGGGUGUAAAGGGAGCGUAAACGGCGAGGUAAGCCUGAAGUGGAAGCCCGCGGCCCAACCGCGGAACUGCCAUUGGAACUGUUUUGUUUGAGUAUGGGAGGAGUAGGCGGAAUGCGUGGUGUAGCGGUGAAAUGCGUAGAUAUCAGGAAGAACACCGGUGGCGAAGGCAGCUUACUGGACCCUAACUGACGUUGAGGCUCGAAAGCGUGGGGAGCGAACAGGAUUAGAUACCCCAGUAGUC
rnacentral:rRNA from 1 species